rnacentral:rRNA from 1 species
GGAAUUUUGGACAAUGGGCGCAAGCCUGAUCCAGCAAUGCCGCGUGAGUGAAGAAGGCCUUCGGGUUGUAAAGCUCUUUUGUCAGGGAAGAAACGGUGGAGGCUAAUAUCCUCUGCUAAUGACGGUACCUGAAGAAUAAGCACCGGCUAACUACGUGCCAGCAGCCGCGGUAAUACGUAGGGUGCAAGCGUUAAUCGGAAUUACUGGGCGUAAAGCGUGCGCAGGCGGUUUUGUAAGUCUGAUGUGAAAUCCCCGGGCUCAACCUGGGAAUUGCAUUGGAGACUGCAAGGCUAGAAUCUGGCAGAGGGGGGUAGAAUUCCACGUGUAGCAGUGAAAUGCGUAGAUAUGUGGAGGAACACCGAUGGCGAAGGCAGCCCCCUGGGUCAAGAUUGACGCUCAUGCACGAAAGCGUGGGGAGCAAACAGGAUUAGAUACCCUAG